UCCUCCUUGAUAACCUAUGAAAUUUAUCAAAAUAAUUCAACUAAGUAACUAAAUAAGUAAAAAAAAUAAUAAUUCAAAUUUAAUUAUUAGUUAAACUUACUUUGAGCUUCUUCUUCACUCCAUAAAGAUUUCUACACCAAUCUCCUCCACAAAUUAAUACUUGUACUGUCUCUAGACUUAAAGAGGUGCAGCAUGGAUC
rnacentral:lncRNA from 1 species